CUCACAGGUACAGAACCUUCUCUCCUAAGAGCAGUCCCUCACGGGUACAGAACCUUCUCCCCUAAGAGCAGUCCCUCACAGGUACACAACCUUCUCCCCUAAGAGCAGUCCCUCACGGGUACAGAACCUUCUCCCCUAAGAGCAGUCCCUCACAGAUACAGAACUGUCUCCCCUAAGAGCAGUCCCUCACGGGUACAGAACCUUCUCCUCUGAGAGCAGUCCCUCACAGAUACAGAACCUUCUCCCCUAAGAGCAGUCCCUCACAGGUACAGAACCUUCUCCCCUAAGAGCAGUCCCUCACAGGUACACAACCUUCUCCCCUAAGAGCAGUCCCUCACGGGUACAGAACCUUCUCCUCUAAGAGCAGUCCCUCACAGAUACAGAACCUUCUCCCCUAAGAGCAGUCCCUCACAGGUACAGAACCUUCUCCCCUAAGAGCAGUCCCUCACAGGUACAGAACCUUCUCCCCUAAGAGCAGUCCCUCACAGGUACAGAACCUUCUCCCCUAAGAGCAGUCCCUCACAGGUACAGAACCUUCUCCCCUAAGAGCAGUCCCUCACAGAUACAGAACCCUGAUAAUUUAUGUUCAUUAAGUAAUAUAAUGAACCGAUACUCUCUAUAUAAAGACUGAUAUGUGAACUGAUAUGAGGACGUGAUGAUGUUUAUAUAUUUACAUAUUUAUCUCCUCAUACGUCCUCAUGUGUUACUAUCAGUUCCACAUAUCACUUUAUUCACACAUUAGUAGUUUCCAUGGUUACGGUGUGCAACAACCUGGUACUCAUAGUAAACAAAUAAUACACACUGUCAUGUUUCUGCUCUGUAAAUAGUAUACCACUGAGGUUCUGCAGCUAGCGCACACUUCUACACACUGAUACACACUUUUAAAC
ensembl:lncRNA